UACGUAGGGUGCGAGCGUUAAUCGGAAUUACUGGGCGUAAAGCGUGCGCAGGCGGUUUUGUAAGCCAGAUGUGAAAGCCCCGGGCUCAACCUGGGAAUGGCAUUUGGGACUGCAAGGCUUGAGUGCGGCAGAGGAGACUGGAAUUCCGCGUGUAGCAGUGAAAUGCGUAGAUAUGCGGAGGAACACCGAUGGCGAAGGCAAUCCCCUGGGCCUGCACUGACGCUCAUGCACGAAAGCGUGGGGAGCAAACAGG
rnacentral:rRNA from 1 species